ensembl:lncRNA
AACACAGUCACUACAAUGCGUGGACGUGCUAGCACAAGCACAGCUAACACAGACAGGUCCACUGGCAAAAACUCCUCCAUUACCUCCCCAAAUAAAGCUCAGGCCCUGUGGAGUGGAGAAUAGCCUGUGAGCCAGCAGGUGUGACUCUGCCGCUGUACCUUUUUCAGAACAGGGGGUUGUCCUUCUCGAGGAAGGCUCCGAGUAGCCUGGCCGGUGCUGAGGUAUGGCAUUCUCAACACUGUUCUUUAACCAGUCAAUCACUCUAUCAGGCCAAAGAGACACACACACACACACACAUCAAAUAUGUAAACUGGAAUAAUAGUAAUAUAAGUUUGGAAAAAAUACCUAGAUCUAGAACUUUCAAAAUCACGAUUUAAGUGGCACGCAAAAAGGGGGUGAGAAUUGUUUGCUCACAGAACCAUAGCAUCGUCAUUGGCUUGGAUGUUGUUGAUAGUUGGCAAUAACCCCGAGGUGGGCUAGAGGGAUGAGUCUGCUCAUAUAUCUACUUACUUGGGAGGGAAUUGAAUUGGGAUACUGUCAGCUUCGGAUUCUUCAUCAGAAAAAAGCUCCACAACUGGUAUGUGUGGCAGCGGCUCAGCAUCUAGAAGAAGCAAAGAUAGGGCAUUUACUCUCAUAAUGUCAUUGGUAUGGUUGAUGGCAAAAUGAAGAAUGUAUUCUAUUCAUCUAUUUGUUGGCGUUAUUGUACUUAUUAUAGUACAUUUGAAAUGCACUCCUGCAUUGAACUACAAUGACAGUAAAUUCCUACAUACCUGGCAGGUCUUUUGCCUCAUAUACCUGAGGGAAUGGAAUACAUUAAAUUACAAAAAUCAUUCUUUACACUCAUUAUCCACCAACCAAUUAUGGCCAACAUUAUUUCCUGACAAAGUUCAUACGACCAUGACUGUAAACAUAUUUACUUUGGUUGCAUCAAAUCUAAUGAAUACAAAUAUAUUCAUGCUGUCAUAUUUGUUGCAUUACAUGAUUCCAGAAAUGUAUAAAAAAUGUCCACUGCCACCAAUCUCAAAUCACUAGAAACAUUUUGGAUGGCUUCUAUUAACAUUGUCUCCACAACCCCAACUGAAUGGAUUGGAAAUCGUCAGGAAGGGACAUAGAUUGUAUUUUCUAUCCCCCGUCACCAGGUGGUGCCAUAAUUUGAGGGAAAGGUAUCAGAUUAAAUAUUUACAUCACACGACACACAAGUCUUUGUAGUCACCCUGACAUGCCCUGCCUACUGGAAUUCCUAUGUAUUUACGUUCUCCCCUCAACUUGUUAGCAUACGCAUUCAUAUCUACAUAAUGAACACAUUCACAUCUACAUUGCAACAUCAUCAUUCUUCCGCAUCAUUAACAUUCUUCUGAACCUUUCAGUUGGAAUAAGUUUCAGUGAGAAUGAAAUUAUAAUUUCAUUAUACAAGAAUAACAUACACAUCUUAUCCUUGUGAAUUUAUUAUCUGAACACCAGAAAUGAUGUGUACAGUGCAGAAUCAAGAAUGAAUAAUGAAGUAAAAAAACGCACAAGGUGAAAGCCUCUAUUUCUCCCUGAGAGACUGCUCAUGGACCCAGAGGCACAUGGAUACUCUGUGUAAAUGCCUUAUGUACUAAAGUAGAGCAGUGGAGUUGACAGUGCCGUUAGACCCAUAUCCAUGUGUGAAGCUUUCAAUUGUGAAAUUUCUAAAUCUAAUGUAGAAAAAAAAAUCUAGUCUAAAUAUAGUAGAACAAAAUAUUAAGUAUAUACUAGGUAUGAGGAGAAACUUCUAAUAAAUGUACCAUGUUAAAUAUUUUGUACUGAUGUCUGACAGUGCUGACAGGUAUUGAUUGAUAUGACGUGCUCUAACCUCUGUCACAUCAUCAGUUCGUCCCUCCUUGUACUUGUCGUCUGGCUGUGGCACUACCUUGCCCAGUCCCUGGGAGAUCCAGCUGAUCACCCCACCUUGCCUGUGUGCGCAAGGGACGUUAAUGAAUCAUCCACCCGUUGUGGUCUUUACAGCUAUCUCUGUUUAAUGCACUGAAACUUCAGCCUACAUUACCUUGGAUCAUCCUCUGGGGCAAUUGACUGAGAGUCAGAGACAGACAGUAAGAAACAGGUUAUUUGAUGUCAUGAAUUACCCACAGUACAGUACAGGUAGAUUAGAGGAGUGUUCUGUGGUGAUCUGGAUUAACUGCAAAAGCCUGAUGAGUACCUUGACAUCAGAGUUAGCUCUGUUGGGUUGAAGACUCCCGGCCGGUUGGGGCAGAGCGCUGACAAAGCCAUUGGACAGCCAGGUCAGGACCCCAUUGGGUGCACCGCUAGGAAGACAAUUAUAGACAAAUGUAGAAGAUCACCAGAGACCGUUUCACAAAUUAUGUUAUGGCAUAUGUACAAUUUACAGAACUCACAGAGUGAACUGUGCACACACCUGCUAUCAAGUGAUUGAUGGUCCUCAUCAAUGGGUUUCAGGGCCGUUUUCUUGGCUGUUAGAACAUUGAAAAAGGUUAAGUAUAAUUAUGUGUCUAGAUAUGUCACUGACUCAUCAGAAUUACUACUACUACCAAUAUUACCACCACCACCACCAUCAACAACAGGAACAAUUACGUAUUAUUGUUAUUACUAUUAUUAUUAUUAUUUAAAAUAGGCCUACUCGGAACUCAUUUAACUAAAAUGCAACUAAUCUCAGCGGCUAAGGAAUUGUUUGGAAAGUGGUCAAAAUUGGAGAAUUUACCAUCUUUAGACGAACUCUUGUCCUGAUUUAAAAAGGGACAUGAUUCAGGACAUAGUCAGGAUGAUAUUUACACAUCAGGAGACUCACAUUUAAUUAAAUAUUAGUCAUGUCAAAAGUUGGUUUAUGUUAUUUCAAAAAGUCUUUUUACCGGCUCUUCAGACUCAGGCGGCUGUGGAACCACUUUCACCACCCAGUUAAACAUCCUGAAACAUGAGGGGUAAGGAGUUAUCAACCCCUAUUAGCAACACUAUGCUGACAUGUGAAGGAAAACCACAGACUUUGACAUUGACAUUGCUAUCCCAUCACCUUCAGACGUACAAUCUGCAAAUAUCUGAAAGUAGGGGGUGCUAUCGCUGAUUUUUAAACCUUUUCUACAGAACAAUUACAACACGCAUAAAAAGACAAACAUGGCUGGGAAAACCAAAGUAACACACACAGAAGAGACAGAAGUUAGGGUUAGGGUUAGUUGAAAGAUCAACCAUCAUCCUCUCAGACCGCAGCAGUCACCGCUUAGGCUUAAGAAGAGAGGCUUUUCAACUACUGCACAUUAUUCCAUCUGAACACGCUACUGCUCAUUAUUCCAUCUGAACACACUACUGCUCAUUAUUCCAUCUGAACACACUACUGCAAGAACACACUACAACAGUCAAUGUCUUUAUUUAUACCUUUUCUUUGAUUCAAAUAAUACUCAAUAAGUAAGUGGUAUCUAUCUAUCUACAACCAACUGACACCGGAGACACAAAACAAAGAGUAUGACCAACAACCUGCUAAUCACACCUGAUUUCUCUUUUACUUUCUUUCUCAGCCCAUCUGUCCCUCGCUCCGCUUGCCUCCAUUUCUUCUAGUUCUUUCUAUCUGUCUCACACGAACCUGCAGUAUGCAGCCCAUAUGUCCAGAGAAAACAACGCAGUAUUCCAAGAUCAAGGUCUUUAACUGUCAGCUUCUGUGAGACGAAUCAAAGCAAGACACAAGCAUAUAGGACCUGUUUGUGGCUUUGUCAAAAGUCAUAACCCAAAAACUUCACAAGAAUUCUCUUGAAUCCAGCCUUAAAAGGGACAGAGAUAUGAAAAGCACUGCAAUCAGAGAAUCACACCUUGGAGACUAGCCCACUACUUGAUCAGUGUUCUUGACCACAAAAAUCCGAUAUACUUCAGGCUCACAAUAUCUGAAAAUUUUAAAAGCAACAUCCAACGUCUAAAAUACACUCCAAAUCCUUAAAUUCAAGAAAGUUCAUUUGAUAAACGCAAAUAUGUUUCGCUGGUCCUUUUACCUGUCGUCAGCAGAGAUGUUGCAUGUUUAUCGGACUAACACGGCCCUGGAGGAGCUGCAGCGGACUGUGUGGAUUAAGGUGAGAGAAGACUCCGCUAACAGGAUUAAGGCCUGAGGAACACGACUAUCCAUUUGAGAUUAGCCAAGUUACAUUCUGGCCAACACCAGAAGUUCUGAUAGCAAAGCAGCGCUCUAAGGACACCUCAAAAAGUAGUUGAAACAUUUGUAUUUAACAACAUUUGUAAACACUUCAUAUCUUAGUUAUUUGUCAGUUCACUUGUAUAAGCACUGCCAUUUGAAGGGGUAUAUUCAGGAUUCCAGUACAUUCAAUGGUGAGAGGUAUGGUGAGGUCAUCACAUACGAAAGUAACAUUUUAAUUGUCUUGUGAUGUCAAAACAUUCAUAGGUGGUGUGAUGAACAUGCAGGAAAUUAGUACAUGC